rnacentral:rRNA from 1 species
CCUACGGGAGGCAGCAGUGGGGAAUAUUGCACAAUGGGCGCAAGCCUGAUGCAGCGACGCCGCGUGAGGGAAGAAGGCCUUCGGGUCGUAAACCUCUUUCGGCAGGGACGAAGCGAAAGUGACGGUACCUGAAGAAGAAGCGCCGGCCAACUACGUGCCAGCAGCCGCGGUAAGACGUAGGGCGCAAGCGUUGUCCGGAUUUAUUGGGCGUAAAGAGCUCGUAGGCGGCCUGUCGCGUCGACUGUGAAAACCCGCGGCUUAACUGCGGGACUGCAGUCGAUACGGGCAGGCUAGAGUUCGGUAGGGGAGACUGGAAUUCCUGGUGUAGCGGUGAAAUGCGCAGAUAUCAGGAGGAACACCGGUGGCGAAGGCGGGUCUCUGGGCCGAUACUGACGCUGAGGAGCGAAAGCGUGGGGAGCGAACAGGAUUAGAUACCCCGG